rnacentral:ncRNA from 1 species
ACACGGGGAGCUGGGAUACGGCCCGGCUGAGAGGAAUGACCAGACUCAUUCGACCCUGAACCUGAUCCGGGUAAUGCCGGCGUAGGGAUGGAAAAU